UAGUUUUGGCAACCGGUGAAGGGAUUCAGAGCAGACAUCUCUCCUUUGCCUGAACUCUAUGAAGAUCUGGAACCUGGCACAAGCAGAGGCCUCUUGGGUCUGUCCGCCUCCUGAGGGAGUCCAGACAAAUUUGUCAAAAACUCCUAUAUAUCCUGGCUCCUCCCUCACCUCUUUGGAACAAUUCCUCAGAGCUACCUGAGAGGCUGUAUCCUGGGCUUAAAUCCUAAGCCCACCAAAUAAAAGGAUUCAUAAUUCUACUACCAUAAUCACUAUGCUCAAGUAUUAAAGAAAGAACACCUGAAUAGAUCUUCGUCCCAGGAUCUUUUGCUUUACCUCCAUUCUUACUCCAGUGAACUAUCUGGACAACCUAGAAGAAAACUAAGUGUACUUGUAAGUCUCAGCAGUAGAGUGGAUCUUGGCGGAAGACACUCCAUAGUGUAGCAGAACUGGUUAUAGUGGAACUUGGUAGAAUACACUUUAGUUGUAGAGUACAGCUUUGGAGAUGGCAGUUGGAAGUUUGACUCUCAUGUCCACCACUCCCUGACGAGACAUUGUUCACAGGUA